rnacentral:ncRNA from 1 species
CCAGUGCCACACCCCGUGGCACCGGACGAGGGGCCCCGUACCCGGUCAGCGACAAGACGGCGCCGG